UAGAAUGGGUCAUGGGAUUAUUAAUAAUGUUUCCUCACUCAUCCUUUGUAUAUUUUUAGGAAUUUCCAAAAGCUAACAAGAAUUGUUUUAUGACUUAGCAAAAAUCAGCAUGGUAUUUCAAAUCUCCUUUGUAGCAAGAAUCUUUAUAGAAAUUCCGGAGUCGGUGAGGAGCCAAACUCACACAACAGAGAGGUUUGAUCUUGAAAAAUGAAACAGCCUCCAGCCAUUCUAGGAAGGUCUUUCACAGCACUCAACACAGCAUCCUCCUGAAGGUACACCAUCCCCAGCUUUCCACUGAUGAAUCUCCAUGAUUUUGUAGGUCCUUCCACCAAGACAUGCAGAAAUUUACUCUGCAUUUGGCUCAAACCUCUUUCUACAUUUGAACAGGGCUGAAAUUACUAGAUGGAAGAAGUGGCUUCAGGAACUCCCACAUCUCUCCCCAAGUUCCCAUUUAUCUCUGAUGGUUGCUGACUCAUCACCCCUCAACUUGGUGGUUUCAAUCAGCAACGAACAUUUUAUUCUCUCAUAGUGUCGGUGGGUGGUUCUGACUCAGGCAAUCCUCUGGCCAGUCAGUCAUUGGCUGGAGCUGGAACAGACUUGGGGAGCCUGGGCGCUGGAGCAGAGUGCUGGAGCAGUGUGGCUGGACAUCUUCCCCCACCCCAUCUCUGUUCAUGUAACUGCAGGGUGGCCACGCGUGACCUCUACAGGUAUUUGUCACCUGCUCUUCGACCAGCACCUCCAUCUGCUUCCACCAGCCCUGCAUCCUGCCCUGCAUCCAGCUUCCAGACUGGACUCCUCGACACAUCCCUACACAUGCUUCUUCUAUAAGAGGAGGCUGUCCUGAUCUAGAGGUGGAUGGAGAAGAGGCAGUCAGAGAAUGCGUUUGUUCCUCACGACUUCUGACUUCUGCUCAGAAAGACCAUUUACUUAGGUGAUGAAGUCUGGACAGAUGCCCAGGGCUCACUAGCCAGCAUGUCAUUGUACCUACCAUGCUCUGGCUGACUUUCCCAUGAGCAGCUCUACCCAGCCCUCACCGUCUCACAAGCUCCCAGGGAACAAUCCCCUAAAUGUAUGUUUUCCUCUCUUUCCUGCUUGAUCUAUUAAGA